CCUACGGGGGACAGCAGUGAGGAAUAUUGGUCAAUGGACGAGAGUCUGAACCAGCCAAGUAGCGUGAAGGAUGACUGCCCUAUGGGUUGUAAACUUCUUUUAUAUGGGAAUAAAAUGUUCCACGUGUGGGAUUUUGUAUGUACCAUAUGAAUAAGGAUCGGCUAACUCCGUGCCAGCAGCCGCGGUAAUACGGAGGAUCCGAGCGUUAUCCGGAUUUAUUGGGUGUAAAGGGAGCGUAGGUGGAUUGUUAAGUCAGUUGUGAAAGUUUGCGGCUCAACCGUAAAAUUGCAGUUGAAACUGGCAGUCUGGAGUACAGUAGAGGUGGGCGGAAUUCGUGGUGUAGCGGUGAAAUGCUUAGAUAUCACGAAGAACUCCGAUUGCGAAGGCAGCUCACUGGACUGCAACUGACACUGAGGCUCGAAAGUGUGGGUAUCAAACAGGAUUAGAUACCCUUGUAGUC
rnacentral:rRNA from 1 species